rnacentral:pre_miRNA from 1 species
UGGUGACCUGAGGCUCCCUGGCUGUCACUCUGUCCCAGCACCUCCUGGCCCGCGGGGCACAGGGUUAGUCCCAGUAAAGUCUGCGGGGUCCUGACCC